rnacentral:tRNA from 1 species
AGGGAGUUAGUCUAAACAAGACAUUUGAUUUCGGCUCAGAAAACUGUGGUUAAACCCCACAACUACCUU